GCUCCCAUUCAGCAGCAAAUCUUGUUUCCUGCCUCUGCACUUAGCAUUUUAAAGGUGAUACUCCCCUCCGCGCGAAUAACAAAAAAACCCUCAAAAUACACAAACCUCUUCAGAUGCACUGUCGCGUCUUCACACCGAUUCUUUACACUCUGUUUUCUUUCAGUUUCUCUGUACUCCUCAAUCCCUUUCACUUUCUCUGUACUCCUCCAUCUCUUUAAGACCUCUCUCUUCCUUCUUAUUUUUAUGACCUGUUUGAAAAAAUGUUAUACAUGGCACCCGGAAUCAACAACUACUUCUGUUCAAUCAACAGAUGUCGGUGUGGGGACACUAUGAUUGCGAAGACAAAACGUUGUUACAAGAUUGAGGGAUUUUAAAAUGAGCUCAAAAGUGGAGAAUAUGAAUUACUAAAGACAAGAGAAAUGGAUAUUUGGUGCUUUUCAUUUGAGAAAUUUACUGGAAGAUAUGACUUCUCAGAUUAAUGGCACAUGAUGUCUAAGCAGGGGUUGAAUCCGUUGUUCCUAAUGGAGGAUAUUGAUGUAAUGGGCAUUUGAAAUGGCAGCCUCAAACAGACUACAGAAGUUGUUUUCUCUUUCAAGCCUCAUGACUUUAAAGGAUUCUCCUUCCGUUUCUUAAAGCAUUUGCAGGGUGAUGAUAUGCACCUUUUAUGAGUUUGAAAUAGAUUUUUACUUUUUCCCUUGUGCAGGGAGAAAAUAAGGUAUAGAAACAAAGGGAAAUCCUUUUUGCUGCAAGAUUCAUUCAACAA